rnacentral:rRNA from 1 species
CUUGCUCCGAUUGAAUAAUCUGGUGAGCCUUCUUGACUGAGUAGGCAACUACAAAGGAAAUUAAGCAAACCAUAUUAUUUAGAGGAUGAAGAAGUCGUAACAAAGUU